rnacentral:rRNA from 1 species
GACGAACGCUGGCGGCGUGCUUAACACAUGCAAGUCGAGCGGUAAGGCCCUUUCGGGGGUACGACGAGCGGCGAACGGGUGAGUAACACGUGGGUGACCUGCCCUCAGCUCUGGGAUAAGCCUGGGAAACCGGGUCUAAUACUGGAUAUGACUCCAUGACGCAUGUUGUGGGGUGGAAAGCCUUGUGCGGCUGAGGAUGGGCCCGCGGCCUAUCAGCUUGUUGGUGGGGUGAGGCCUACCAAGGCGACGACGGGUAGCCGGCCUGAGAGGGCGACCGGCCACACUGGGACUGAGACACGGCCCAGACUCCUACGGGAGGCAGCAGUGGGGAAUCUUGCGCAAGUGGGCGAAAGCCUGACGCAGCGACGCCGCGUGAGGGAUGACGGCCU